UUUAAUUGAAGAGUUUGAUCAUGGCUCAGAUUGAACGCUGGCGGCAGGCUUAACACAUGCAAGUCGAGCGGUAACAUUUCAAAGCUUGCUUUGAAGAUGACGAGCGGCGGACGGGUGAGUAAUGCUUGGGAAUAUGCCUUAUGGUGGGGGACAACAGUUGGAAACGACUGCUAAUACCGCAUAACGUCUACGGACCAAAGGGGGGGAUCUUCGGACCUCUCGCCAUUUGAUUAGCCCAAGUGAGAUUAGCUAGUUGGUAAGGUAAAGGCUUACCAAGGCGACGAUCUCUAGCUGGUUUGAGAGGAUGAUCAGCCACACUGGGACUGA
rnacentral:rRNA from 1 species